GUCUGCAACCUACACCACAGCGCUCAGCAACGCUGGAUCCUUCACCCACUGACCAGCCACUAUGUAAGAAGUGUAAUUACCCUGAAAGCACUACAUUGUCAGAAGCCCAAGGUCAUGAAAAGAGGCCCUGGAGGAUGAGAUAUCAAGUAGAGAAUUGAAGAAGCACCAAGAAACCACAAGUGAAGUGUAAGUGAAGAAGACAUUUUGGAAAUGGAUCCUCCAGCCGCACUGCCUUGACUAUUGCUGCGCAAAUCAGGUGAACUGCCCAGUUGGAGCCCCUCCCAAUUUUUGACCAAUGACGUGAUGAGCAAAAUAAAAUGGUUUUUUUUUUU